AUCGCUUCUCGGCCUAUCGGCUAAGAUCAAGUAGAAAGAAACUGUUCUUUCGAGUUUAAUAGCUCGAAUGAGGAUAAUGCGUCCUCAAGCUAUUAAUCCCAAUUUUUCUACUAGGAGUUGUGUGUGAAGCUUGCUUCCCUCACUCCACGGGUUGCCCUGGUAUUGCAGUACAUCCAGGUGUGGCCCCACUUCC
rnacentral:snRNA from 1 species